GGCCUCCUAGGGUGGCACCUGGGGAGUUUCCAGUCCUCUACCUGUCUCGACUAUGGGAGGAAGAGUCAAACAGAGGCAUAUCCAUUCCAUUCCUAGCUUGGGCACUGGCUAGCGAGUGGAAGGCAAUCUGCUACAAGU